AGUUAAGGCAAUCAAGUUAGAGAACACAUACAUUUCAUAUCUUUGUGAAACAGUUUCCAAGUUUGUGAAAGUAUGGCAUCAAUGAAGGUUGAGAGAGGAGUUGGGACUCAACUGUUUGGGCAGGCCAAGAAAGAACCUGCCGUCGCCAAGGAUGGUGCAGCCAAAAUUCCAGCAUCUAAAGCAGCACCAAAGAAGGCUGCAGCCAAGCCAGCUCCAGCACCUAAGAAGAAGGGUAAAGGUGGCAAAGCUGCAGCAAAGAACUGAUCAAAUUGCUGAUGAAUGCUUAUAUUCCAAGAGACGAUCAUAGUAUUGUCCUUUAGAAUUUGUAACCAAUGAGUGCAAGCAUGGGAACUUUAUGUCAUCCAUGUAAGCAAUCCCAUUGAAAUAAAUAUACCUCUUCAGCUACUACCAGGAACUGCUAUUCUGCUACUCGUCUAGAAUAAAACCAAAUACAUUGCAAAACUUUACAUUGUAUCUAAUAUGAAUCCUUCAGAAUAUUUAUAGGAUUUUGAACUCAGACUGCUAAGGUUCAGGGUUGGUUGAAUUGAGCUUUCCUUAUUAGGAAGCUAAUCAAACUGGCCUUUUAAGUCCUCAACACAUGACUCCGUCGGUCCAGGAAAGAAAUGAAAUGGCAAAGUGAAACUCCUUUCUGU